rnacentral:sRNA from 1 species
CGUUCUUCGGGACUUUAUCCCGUCGGGGU